CCUCGGCCGCUCGCCCCCGCGGCCUAUAAAAUGAAGCCCCGAGACCCCCUUGACCUCCAAAACACCACGCCCUACUCCCAUAUUCCCUCGGGCUCCCAGUAGCCCGAAUUUUGUCGAGGAGCCGCCGCCGUUUUCUCCGACGCCGGCGACGAGUUCCGUCGCUGUAAAGGAGUUCGGGAGCAUCCGCGACAACGGGAGCCGAACACGCCGGCACUGCGGACGUCGCUCUCGUUGCUGUCCAACCUCGCCGGGACCAGCUGACCGCCGGUGGAGCUCCGCCACGUUUACCAGCAUCGCCUCCAAGCCUCGCCCAAACCAUCCGACGUUUGUAGCUUCGUCUUCAUCCCCGACCGGAGUUGCAAAAUCCAUCGCCGGCCACACACCAUUGUCCGAACUGCGAGAGCGAUACUCACGAAGAAGUAGGAGGUCACUGCUGCUGCUCAGGCAAGUUACAUCUACAUGUCUAUCCCAUUUAUUUUUGCUAUGCUAUUUUGAUUAUAAAAGUAGGAAUGCAUGCGAUAGUUUUAUUUUGUUAGCCAAGUACUUUUAGAAAUAGCGAUGUUUUAUAUAGUUAUGUCCUAUGGUAGAAAUAAGCCGUAGGAAUUAUCACCCACUUUGUAACCUUAGGUAAAUAUAUGCUAGAUUAAGUUCUAGUAAAGUUUUGAACUAUAUAGUUAUGCUUAGUCAUGCUAAAAUAAAAUCCGUUGGGGGGUUCAAAUGAAAUAAUGUUUACGAAAUAGAAAUGGUUUGUGAAAUGUGUUUACCAAAUUAAAAUGUAAAAUUAUUUCA